GCCAACCCUUGCAUGAGGCCAACCAAGAUCAAGACUAGUGUGGUGAAGUUUGCAGGUCGGUCAAAGAAAAACUGACGUAUGGAAAAGAAGCAAAAUAACAAGAAGAAAAGAUCGAAAAAAUGAGAGCCGAAGAUGGUGAAAAUUAUGCCAUUAAAAAGCAGGCAGAGAUCCUACAAGAAUCCCAGAUGAUGAUCCCAGAUUGCCAGCGCAGGUUGGAAGCUGCAUAUUUGGAUCUUCAACAGAUGUUAGAAAGUGAAAAAGACUUGGAAGACACUGAGGAAUAUAAAGAAGCACAUUUAGUACUAGAUUCGGUGAAGCUAGAAGCC
rnacentral:lncRNA from 1 species